GACGAACGCUGGCGGCGUGCUUAACACAUGCAAGUCGAACGGAAAGGCCCUGCUUGCAGGGUACUCGAGUGGCGAACGGGUGAGUAACACGUGGGUGAUCUGCCCUGCACUUCGGGAUAAGCCUGGGAAACUGGGUCUAAUACCGGAUAGGCGCCAUUUUGAGUGUGAUGGUUGGAAAGUUUUUUCGGUGUAGGAUGAGCUCGCGGCCUAUCAGCUUGUUGGUGGGGUAAUGGCCUACCAAGGCGGCGACGGGUAGCCGGCCUGAGAGGGUGGACGGCCACAUUGGGACUGAGAUACGGCCCAGACUCCUACGGGAGGCAGCAGUGGGGAAUAUUGCACAAUGGGCGCAAGCCUGAUGCAGCGAGGCCGCGUGGGGGAUGACGGCCUUCGGGUUGUAAACUCCUUUCGCUAGGGACGAAGCUUUUUGUGACGGUACCUAGAUAAGAAGCACCGGCUAACUACGUG
rnacentral:rRNA from 1 species